rnacentral:rRNA from 1 species
UAGGGAAUCUUCGGCAAUGGACGGAAGUCUGACCGAGCAACGCCGCGUGAGUGAAGAAGGUUUUCGGAUCGUAAAGCUCUGUUGUAAGAGAAGAACGAGUGUGAGAGUGGAAAGUUCACACUGUGACGGUAUCUUACCAGAAAGGGACGGCUAACUACGUGCCAGCAGCCGCGGUAAUACGUAGGUCCCGAGCGUUGUCCGGAUUUAUUGGGCGUAAAGCGAGCGCAGGCGGUUAGAUAAGUCUGAAGUUAAAGGCUGUGGCUUAACCAUAGUAGGCUUUGGAAACUGUUUAACUUGAGUGCAAGAGGGGAGAGUGGAAUUCUAUGUGUAGCGGUGAAAUGCGUAGAUAUAUGGAGGAACACCGGUGGCGAAAGCGGCUCUCUGGCUUGUAACUGACGCUGAGGCUCGAAAGCGUGGGGAGCAAACAGGAUUAGAUACCCUGGUAGUCCACGCUGUAAACGAUGAGUGCUAGGUGUUAGACCCUUUCCGGGGUUUAGUGCCGUAGCUAACGCAUUAAGCACUCCGCCUGGGGAGUACGACCGCAAGGUUG